AAACUUCAUAGGUACAUUGAUCAUGACUCGCAGAUGACCCCUAUUGAUUUUCAGGUCACUAUAUCAAAGGUCAAGGUCAGGGUGACCUGAAAUAGUAAAAUGGUUUCCGGAUGAUAACUCAAGAACGCUAAUGGCUACGGUCAUGAAACUUCAUAGGUACAUUGAUCAUGACUUGCAGAUGACCCCUAUUGAUUUUGAGGUCACUAGGUCAAAGGUCAAGGUCAUGGUGAC